AUUUAUGGAAGUGCAAGGGCAAGCACGUACCCCUGAGCAGUCUUCUUUGGCAAGGGAGUGUAAGGUUUCACAGUUUUUCAUUCCUGUAUCACCUGUGGUGCAAGACAGAAGUGAUGUCUGCACAGAGUGUGAUGCCCCUGCUGGGGAGGCAGUGACUCCUGAUGUGCCUCUUGUGGAAGCGCCAAGUGUGCCCCACCUGCAGGACCACAUUGCAAGCACCCCCACAAAGGAGGAGUUUGGCUUUUAUGAAUUCUAUGCAGGAGAGCAGCAGGAGGAACAGGACAAGGAGCAGGAGAGAUCAGUUGGUAUUGAACAGGACAUUAAAGCUGAUGAUAAUCUUUGUAAAGAAGAAGCGAUUGAUGAUGGUGAUGCCACACAUUGGAAAAUACAAAGUGACAGGCAAAUGCUGCAAGAAAUUGAGUCUGAUGCAUACAGCCCUUCUUUGAAUCUAAUCCCCACUCCUCCUGGCAUAGGAAACUCAGGCCAGGUUUUUACUGAGAAAGCUGAAGAAGUAGAAGAGGUGCAUUUCAGAGAGCAGCUGUUGCCCUCUGAGCCUGACACUGAGAUCAUAUUUGAUCUGAAGAAGUUUGCAGAGCCUUUCCCAGCUACAGAGACUGUGCACACAGAACAGGCACAAACCCCCACAGCACCGGAAAGUGCGGAGGUCAUCACUGGAAUCAUCUCCCCAGCACACCAACAUGAUGUGCUUGAAGGAGAGAUGUCCCUGAGUGAGGAGCUGCGUCAGAGCUACAGGGUGCAGCAGGAGGAGGUUGAUGCUCAGGAAGAGGAAGAGCCAAGAGAAAUCACAACAGCUGAUUUGCAGACUCCUAAUGGGGACCUUGGCAGUGUCAUGAUAUCUGCUGAAGAGGGACAUUCUGCUGAAGAAGUUCAGGAUUCAAAGAUGAGUGUCUGUGGAGAGGAUUCGCUUCAAGAAAAAGUUAAUGAAUUUCUAGUGGAGCCCACACCAGAUUUCCAAAGAGGAGUUCAGGAAACACAUGUGUGGGAGAGUGGGGAACAACUGGAGACCACAGACUCCCAGAGUGACAGCUUCAUUGUGGACUUGAAAAAAGCUGCACAUGAAAAGAAACCCCAGGCUGGGCAUCAGGCUGAGGAAAAUGGUGGUUCUGGGACAGAAAAGUUCUUUGAGCCAGGCAGGAGCAGCUUCAGCUGUGAGAUGGAAAGUACAGAUUCCCCUGAGGAGAUGCUCAGAGACAUCCAGCAGGAACCAAACACAACCAAGGGCUUCUCUUUGGGGAAACUCAUCCUUGGGUUAGUAAUGGAUGAUCCUGUGGCACAGAAGGAGCAAAGGAAGG
rnacentral:lncRNA from 1 species